CAGAGGUGCGAGCGUUAAUCGGAUUACUGGCGUAAGCGCGCGUAGGUGGUAAUAAGUCAAUGUGAAUCCCGAGCUUAACUUGGGAAUUGCAUUCGAUACUGGUUAGCUAGAGUAUGGGAGAGGAUGGUAGAAUUCCAGGUGUAGCGGUGAAAUGCGUAGAGAUCUGGAGGAAUACCGAUGGCGAAGGCAGCCAUCUGGCCUAAUACUGACACUGAGGUGCGAAAGCAUGGGAGCAAACAGGAUU
rnacentral:rRNA from 1 species